UAUUUUUAUUAUUUAAAUUUUAUAUUUAAGUUAAAAAGCUUAAUUAAAAUAAUUAGACGAGAAGACCCUAUAGAAUUUUAUUAAUUUAUAAAUUUAAUUUUAUGUUUAUAUUUAAUUUAGUUGGGGAGAUUAAAAAAUUUAAUUAACUUUUUUUAUAAAUUCAUUAAUUUUUGUUUUAAUGAUCUUUGUUAUAUAGAUUAAAAAAUCAAAUUACCUUAGGGAUAACAGCAUAAUUUUAAAAAUAAGUUCUUAUU
rnacentral:rRNA from 1 species